rnacentral:misc_RNA from 1 species
GAUGAAGAACGUAGCGAAAUGCGAUAAUUAAUGUGAAUUGCAGAAUUUAGUGAAUCAUCGAAUCUUUGAACGCACAUUGCGCCCGCCAGCACUCUGGCGGGCAUGCCUGUUCGAGCGUCAUUUCAACCAUCAAGCCCCCAGGGGCUUGUGCUGGGGCCCUGCGGCUGCCCGCAGGCCCUGAAAACCAGUGGCGGGCUCGCUAGUCACACCGAGCGCAGUAGCACAUCUCGCUCAGGGCGUGCGGCGGGCUCCUGCCGUGAAACCCCCCACUGUAACCCCAAAGGUUGACCUCGGAUCAGGUAGGAAUACCCGCUGAACUUAAGCAUAUCAAUAAGCGGAGGA